AAGGAAUUCUAACAAUACAGUUAUGUCAUAUGUACAGACUCCUGCUCCCUUUAGGGAAGUAAGAAUGAUUUUAUCUGUAGCUAUUUCUACAAUUUCUGAAUUGACCGCUACUUCUGCAAAUCCAUCGACACGAUGGUAGCAGAUCUGCAAUCUAUACCUCAAGUCAGAUGAGUAACACAUUGAAUGUUAUUUUGUGAAAACAAUUGUGUUAUAACCAUUUACUCAAAUGAGG